rnacentral:lncRNA from 13 species
AAUACAGUGCGCUUUGCGUCAUACGUGUGCCCCUGAUGUGCGACUUCAACAGUGAUGUCUCCGAAUCCUGGACUCUCAGGAUCCUCUUGCGGUGUCCAGGCUCCCCACACUUGAUCAGCACGUUCCCACAACAGACCACGGCAGUCGUUUCUGUUUCCAGCAUUUCAUAUUUAGAAUGUGGAAGUUUUGCAGUGGGAAGGUCUGUCCAUCCCCUGGAGAAUACCAGACUUUGGGAAAUACCUACAGCCGAAACAAAGCCCUUUCCCGUCAGACCUGUUUAAGCCAAGCCAAGGUGUGAUGGUAACUGGAUGCUUCACAUAAACGACAGGAUAAAUGAAGGGCAAGAGGGACGCCUACCUGACUUUCACAGCGGUAAGAGCUUUAAUAGGGGCAUCUGUAUAUAAGAACCUAAAAUGAAUCCCAGAGGGGAAACUAGAAUUGUUGAAAGUUUUGACAAUUUUUGCGAUCAUUAAAUUGCAGUUGCUGAAAUGCCUUUCCAUAAAGAAGACAACUUCAUUCCACUCUUCAGUCUCAAGAUGACAACCAUUUUCUGCACAGAGAAGGGUACACACGUAGGCAUCCAUGAGGCCUUGAUUUCAAACAAAUUUGUCUUGAUUUGGGUUAACACUAAUAAAGUUGCCGUUGAUGGAAACCGAAGGCA